UGCUCUCUCUUCAUUGUUGUGAUACUUAAAUUGAUUUUGGCCAAAUAUCGGCAACAAGAUGUCACGCUGCUUCAGAUCACAAAAGCGAAAAAUUUACUAUACUCGAAACAGAUUGUCACAAUUUUGAAAAAAACCAAAUCAAAUAUUUUCAUCUUGAAGGAAAGUGUUGAUACUUUUAAUGAUAUUUUCGGCUGGAUUAUUUUGUGUAAUAUAUUCGAAGCGGCCGCAAAAAGCCUUAUUUACAUCGACAUGAUUAUCAAGAAAAAUGUGACGCAACAAAAUAGUGACGUGUUCAUUUUCGAUAAUGUGUGGCUUUUUAUUCUUUGGGUGGGCAUUUUAUCAACAAUUUUUCUCUGUGACACAAUUUUAAAAAAAGUGGACGAUAUUUUGUCACAAGCGUACAAACUCGAAGCCUCCUUUGAUGACCUUGCAACGUACGAAACGGACGAAGUCCAAAUUUUUAUCGACGUAGUCCAACAUAAUCGUCCUGAAUUCAAAGCGGCGCGAUUUUUCUCAAUCGAUCGUUCAACACUUUUCAGCGUUUUGAACUCACUGACAACAUUUCUUCUCGUAAUGAUCCAAUUUAAAGAAAAUUGACUUGUAAUUUGUUUAUGCCAGUCCGAAAAAUGGACUUGCAAGUGGUUGACUUGAUUUUCAAAGUUGGCAAAAUCUUCACAAUAACACCGUCUAGUUUAUUACAAACGAGUCCAAAUAAAAUUCACAGUUGUUUCAUUGUUGUGACGUACAUUGUUGUUACGUCUUUAACGUACAAAAUCAGUCAUGUGACUUACAAGCAAUUGACAAGCGUUCAGUACAUAUUAGCGAUAUUUUCACUUGUUGCGGUGUACACGCACGAUUUUUACGUUUUUAUUUUCGUGAGAUGUUGGCGAAAUUUUUGGUUGGACUUGUCGCGAGGACUUAGGAAGGUUAACAAUAGAAAAAAUCGGCGAAAAGUUCAUUAUUUCUGGUUCAUAAUGUCGCAACUUUUUUUAUUAGUUGAGUGCGUAUUUGGUCUUGUGUACUAUACCUAUUUCACCAAUUACCAGUUGGCUUUUUUGAUGUUUGUCAAUUUUUUUCGUCGCUACUUUCAGAUGUUUUUCUUAAUUUUACGUUGUAUCCUUUUGGAUAUUAUUCUGGGGAAGUACAGACAACAGUUAUGGACGCUCGAGUCCAAAGUACCGCAAACACGAAAAGUUGGACGCGAUUUGUACGUUUUGAAAAAAACAAUCGAUGUUUUCAACGAUAUUUUCGGAUGGCCAUGUUUUACAAAUAUUUUUUCUGCGUCCAUUACAGUGCUUAUAACGCUUGAUGUUUUUAUUAAAAGUAAUGGGCAUUUUACGUACGACACGCGUACCAUGACUGAGGUACUCAAUCAGAUGUUACACAUGAUCGGAAUUUGCUCAUAUUGGAUUUGUAUCACGAUCAAUAUUUUGCUAUGUGAUGCUGUGUUGAAGGAAUUUGAUAAAAUUGAAGAACUUGUGAGUGAAUUAAAAUUAAGAAAAAAUCGAUUUGGUCACAAAUUCAUUCUAUUGAAUCGAAUUAUUUUACACAAUCGGCCCGAAUUCAAAGCUGCCGAUUUUUUCUCCCUGCACAAAUCCACGCUGUUUGGUAUUACAUACAGCAUUACCAAUUUUUUGUUAAUCAUGAUACAGUUUAAGCCAUCUUGACUUUUUUAUGUUUUAAUGAUAGUUAAUUAAACAAAAAAAAACAAAUGUGUUUGAAAAACGUUUAUUUCAUAAAAUAAUGGCACUUAGUUUAUAAAAAAUUCUUAUAAAAAUACAAGUGUAUAAAAAUGGAA